rnacentral:lncRNA from 1 species
UUUUCUCCAGGGUCGAUGGUUCGAGCCACGCCAUGCUGCUGCUGCUGGAUUCGGGUGAAGGGUACGCCGCCGAAUGCUGCUAUUCCAGAAUCGGCGAGGGCCAUUACCGAGGUCAGGAGUCGUCUGCCUUUCACCACUUGACGCUGCUGCCCCCGCGAGUCGCCGCCCCGACGUCAUCUCUCGGCUUGACUAAGCAAGGCAGCGCCCCUCCUUUCUAAAAGCUAAGUUCUUUACUCUCACUUUACAACUACUGCGUAUGAAUCGUCUGAGGUAUCUUAUGUACAUGGUUUAUCAGCUGUGAGAUGGUAAAGCUAUGGUGUGGAGGUCAAAGUCUGUGAAAGGUUAUAUGUUGCUGGUUCUUCAUGCUGCUAUGUUCAUUCUCACAUAAUGCAUUGGUUUUGUUUGUCUAUCAUGCUUGGAUGCAGAAAAUGUGUGAUGGAAUAUAGCAUGGGGCUGAGUAAUUACCUUGAGAAUAUUUUUGUGAAUUGAAGAUUGUCGAGGAAUUCAAUGCAGCAGGUGGAACUUCAAUUUCUGGCAGAGAAUGAAUGAAAGUUCUCCUUUAAUAUCUCGAUUGUUGAGGUGUUUCUGGAGUACUGGGAUAACUGAAAUGAAUUAACUUUUGAUGUUUCUUCGAUAAUUGCAGGUGGAACAUGAUGGUGGAGAAGUUAAGCUAAAGCUUACCUUGAGAAUUUAGCAGGGUAAUGAAUGAGAGUUUCUCCUGCAGAAUGAAGAGGAUUAAGAGGUUGCUGCAGAUAUUAAGGACUAAUGAGAAGGGGUUGUAGGCUGCACACUUGAGUGUGCUAAGGAAUAGGUGUAGAGAUAGGGAGAAUGGGAUUGGAGGGGUGGGCGGCUAGCAUAGGGAAAGAGAAGGGUGCUGCAGAUUUUUGCACACAUAUACAUAUUUCUUUUUAUCUACUUUUGAUGUAGUAGGGUAGUCUACUGUUGAAUAAAUGAAAGCUUGAGAGUUAGUUGGGUUGAUAUUUUGUUUUUGUUUUGCUUGGGAUAAUUGUAGCAAAUUUUGUGACGAUGAAUUGUUUGUUGUUGGGCUUACAAUAUGAUUGUUGUUUUUGAAAAGAAAUUGUGUGUAUCACUUGUGGAUUAUGCAUGAAAAGUUUGAACUUGUGACNUGAACGGCGGUCGAACCUCCUCCCUCACGUCCAUCUCUGCCUUCUUCGCUCUCAAUAACCAUCGAAGCUUGAGCGAGCCCUAAUUUUUCCCUUCUUGAGGUGCCGCCGCCGCCGCCGCUGCAACUGGAAGGCCGACGAGAUUCGCCGCGCCGCUGCACCCGUAGCGGCGUCCGCUGGUCGUCAGGCCGCCGAGGGCGCCGAUCCUCGGCUGCCCCCUCUUCAUCUCACUACCUUCCUUCAAAAUCGAGUGCAAAGAAUGAAGGGAGGAAGCAUAAUUUCCUCAGUCUGAUAUCGUCUCCGCCGUUGUUGCUCCGCGGUUUCCGGCUAGUAGGGGAAAGCCCGCCGUUGCUGUUUUCUCCAGGGUCGACGGUUCGAGCCACGCCACGCUGCUGCUGCUGGGUUCGGGUGAAGGGUACGCCGCCGAAUGCUGCUAUUCCAGAAUCGGCGAGGGCCAUUACCGAGGUCGGGAGUCGUCUGCCUUUCACCACUUGACGCUGCUGCCCCCGCGAGUCGCCGCCCCGACGUCAUCUCUCGGCUUGACUAAGCAGGGCAGCGCCCCUCCUUUCUAAAAGCUAAGUUCUUUACUCUCACUUUACAACUACUGCGUAUGAAUCGUCUGAGGUAUCUUAUGUACAUGGUUUAUCAGCUGUGAGAUGGUAAAGCUAUGGUGUGGAGGUUAAAGUCUGUGAAAGGUUAUAUGUUGCUGGUUCUUCAUGCUGCUAUGUUCAUUCUCACAUAAUGUUCAUAAUGCAUUGGUUUUGUUUGUCUAUCAUGCGUGGAUGCAGAAAAUGUGUGAUGGAAUAUAGCAUAAGCUGAGUAAUUACCUUGAGAAUAUUUUUGUGAGUUGAAGAUUGUCGUGGAAUUCAAUGUAGCAGGUGGAACUUCAAUUUCUGGCAGAGAAUGAAUGAAAGUUCUCCUUUAAUAUCUCGAUUGUUGAGGUGUUUCUGGACUGGGAUAACUGAAAUGAAUUAACUUUUGUUGUUUCUUCGAUAAUUGCAGGUGGAACAUGAUGGUGGAGAAGUUAAGCUAAAGCUUACCUUGAGAAUUUAGCAGGGUAAUGAAUGAGAGUUUCUCCUGCAGAAUGAAGAGGAUUAAGAGGUUGCUGCAGAUAUUAAGGACUAAUGAGAAGGGGUUGUAGGCUGCACACUUGAGUGUGCUAAGGAAUAGGUGUAGAGAUAGGGAGAAUGGGAUUGGAGGGGUGGGCGGCUAGCAUAGGGAAAGAGAAGGGUGCUGCAGAUUUUUGCACACAUAUACACAUUUCUUUUUAUCUACUUUUGAUGUAGUAGGGUAGUCUAGAGUAGGAGUAGGAAAGAUGAUGCUUGUAAAUGUAGAUGUGAUGGUAAUAAGUAAAAUUGUUCUAUCUUGAUAAAUCCAAAUCUGUAAUAAUGUAUCACUUGAUCAAUGAAAUACUAGUUCCGGG